GAUAGCCUAUCUUUACCUAGGUAUAAGGUACGAAGCACGGAGGUGAGCGGAACCAUCUCAGCAGGGUGCUUCUAAAGGGUUCAACUACAUAAACUGAAGAGGUGGAAAUCAUGGCUGCCUGCUGUGUCUGAUUCAUCCAGAGGCUUUUUUUUUUUUUUUUUUUUUACUUUCUGCAUCAUUUAA